rnacentral:rRNA from 1 species
AUUGAACGCUGGCGGCCUGCUUUACACAUGCAAGUCGGACGAGUGGCGAACGGGUGAGUAAUAUAUUGGAACGUACCGAGUAAUGGGGGAUAACCAAUCGAAAGAUUGGCUAAUACCGCAUAGUAUUCGAGCGGCCAAUAUCUGGUUAGCUAGUUGGUGGGGUAAAGGCCUAACAAGGCGAAGAUGAGUAGCGGGUCUGAGAGGAUGAACCGCCACACUGGGACUGGGACACGGCCCAGACUCCUACGGGAGGCAGGAGGGGGGAAUUUUGGACAAUGGGCGGAAGCCUGAACGAGCCAUGCCGCGUGUCUGAAGAAGGCCUUCGGGGUGUAAAGGACUUUUGUUAGGGAAGCGGUACCUAAAGAAUAAGCACCGGCUAACUACGUGCCAGCAGCCGCGGUAAUAC